CUAAAACUCACGUCACAUCUGUCACAUGAUCCCAGCUUGGUCAUUGACUGCUCUGAGAAGCCUGUCCUGAACUACCAAGGGUGGGUCAGAGUCAGUUCUUAUGAGCUCUUCUGAAACAGCGCACUCC